ensembl:lncRNA
ACCUAUUCAUUGGUUACACUUUAUUUUACAGUCCGGUUUCACAUUUUAUUUUAUGUAUGUUUUAUUUAACCAGGAAGGCUGUUGAGAUAUUUUUUCCGAAGGAGACCUGGCCAAGAAAGCAGCAUACAGUCAAGUGCAGAAAGUUACAUGUUUUUUGUCUGGUAUUUACUAAGAGCGUAUUUAUGGUGACAAUGAAUACUUCCUGGAAGUUUCGUCAAAGACGUCGAAAUAAUAGGUAACCUGGUACUAAAUGGUAUGGUACUAAAUGGUGUUUGAAAUGAAUCCAAAGGAACAUAAGUUAUUACCAGGUAGUGGACUGUUUAAGGUCGACUGACCUAAAGCUCAGCUACUAUUAAAAUACAUUUGCAUCUGAAUGGAAGUGUGCAGAGACUUUUCCCUGUUUCUCCAGUUUUGCAUUUUGCCUCCAGCACCACCACUAAUCGGUUUUGUGUGUACGGUACAUUCUGCCUAUUAUCCCAGGUAGUGAACUAUAAAAUAAAGUGAAAUUCAUUUAUUUUUCAUUCAAUCACUAAUUAAUUCAUUAAACCAAAGCCCAAUAUUAGUAAUGACGUGAAAAGGUAUUUACAAUAUGACUACAAAAGACUACACCACUCUCAAAACAACAUCAGCUUAGCUGCCCCAUUUUUCUCCUCAAAAGUACCUAGCUACUUUGUGUGUGUAUAGCAGUCCUUCGAUCCUCCCUUACUCAAUCCGUCUCUCCUUACCCCAUGUCUCUCCCCUCAGUGGUAGGAAACGCUGGUCCAAGCACUUUCUCCAGCUCUAAAGGGGGCUUCCUAGGCAAACCUUUGCUCUCGCAGCCUGUCCGCUCGUGGGAGCUGUGAGCAUCUGACUACCACGUCACCCUCCUCUUCCAAUCAGCAGCACUGUGUGCUGACCUUUGACCCUAGCCAGGGCGGUGGCCACCACUCCACCUCCACCCCAGCACCUGCUCUAUCACUGGGACUCCUGAAGCUGCUGAAGGAGCAGGGCAUCUCUGCCUCCACCCUCCCCUACCCAUACCACCAACUGACCCCACACACACCCCACACACGCCCCACAACGGCAGAGGAAGAGCGGGGUGGAGGAACAUGCACUAUGGAGGAAGAAGGGAGAAUGAACAUUUUCAGCUUCAACCUGGUAGAGAAGCUGAGGAGUCUGGGACUUCACAAGGUGGCAGCCCGAGGCGUGGUGGACUGAAGCGAGCACGAAGAGGAGAAAGAAGCAAUCCGACAAUACAGACAUCCACCUAAAGUCUGAGAAAGACUGGGAAAACUCCUUCUCCCCUUCCUCCUUAAUCGUCAUUGACUUCAAUCCACAUGCUGGCUAUGCCACUGUACCGACAUUUUGUGUUUCGGGCCCACAGCAAUACAUCGUAAAAUGGAACCUCGGGAGAACCAUAGAGCCAUAAGUUGAGUUUCUGUUACGUCUACAGUCACUCUUCUUUUUGUAAUGGACUCAUGUAUUGUAUAUACUAGGUCUCCACGACAAUGUGUGACAUCAUGAUCAUUCUCAGGAGAAUCACCUGAUCACCGGUCUGGCUGGCUUGAACGUGCGCAAGUUAUUAUUAUUUUUUUAUCAAAGAAAAACAUGCGUUUCUUUUUUUAUACCUGUGUUUCGUGGGUGUCGGAUGGUUUUACACGUUUUUCUUUAAAGACCCCUAUGCUUUUUUAAUAUAUAUUUUUACCAUCAAAUACAAUCACAUUACCUUUUCAUUACUUGGGGAAAGAUAUCGUUAUUUAAGAACCACCAAACUGACCAGUUUGUCAUCCACAGAUGCGCUGGAAUUCAGUAUGUCCUUUUGCAUAUUAGCUGCUAUUAGAAAAUGAAGCAUUUGUGGGUAUUAACCACAUUGACUUUACUGUGGUAAAACCACAAGCACUUCAAUCACUCCCCAUUACAGAAUGGUAGAGAGAUUGAUACACUGACUUUACUUCCUGAACGUUUGUGACAUUAUUGACAUUCACUGAGGUAUACUACUCUGCUCUUUACCCAAAAGUCCUCAUUUAGCUCUCGCAGUACUGUGCGUUUACAUGGCAUCACGCAUCACCUGCUGCAAGUCAUUGUAAAAUAAUGCUUUACUUCGAAAUGCUGUCAAUUAUUGUAAACUUAUUUAGUCGAACCUCACCAAAGCAUUCAGGUAGUCUACCAUACUGUAUCAAAGACAACAGAAAGUGACUGUAAAUGGUCUCUGCACUAGUCUAUGUGCUGGAUCUGUGUUAACAGACCUUAAACUAAAGUGUUGUUGGUACAAAUGUAAUUCAUGUCAUCAGGAAUAAUGAAAGUGAGUUGAAUGAAAAAAAUUAUGAUCAAAUGAUCAUGGACUGCAUGCUUUUUUGGAUGCUCUUUCAGCUGUCUGGACAAUCAAUUGUAGAUAAAAGGCGUAGGAUACUGCAGAUCAAAAGGGAAAAAGAUAGCAAAUUAUGACAAUUUGAAUUCAGAAGAAAAUUAACCAAACAGCACUACAUAUAUUUCAGAUGUUGAAAUUGACUACUCUUUGCUGAAUUCUAUGUUAUGAUCACUGAGAUGUAUGUCUGUAUAUAUUGUACCACAUGUACAUUAAAAAGUACAUUGUAUUUCCAUCAGCCACACGUGCAUGCGUGUU